rnacentral:rRNA from 1 species
AUUGAACGCUGGCGGCAGGCCUAACACAUGCAAGUCGAACGAGUGGCGGACGGGUGAGUAAUGUCUGGGAAACUGCCCGAUGGAGGGGGAUAACUACUGGAAACGGUAGCUAAUACCGCAUACCAUCGGAUGUGCCCAGGGGGGCUUAGCUAGUGGGGGGGGUAACGGCUCACCUAGGCGACGAUCCCUAGCGGGUCUGAGAGGAUGACAAGCAAAACUGGAACUGAGAAACGGGCCAGCCUCCGACGGGAGGCAGCAGGGGGGAAUAUUGCAAAAGGGGCGAAAGCCUGAUGCAGCCAUGCCGGGUGUAUGAAGAAGGCCUUCGGGUUGUAAAGUACUUUCAGCGAGGAGGGGUUACUAGCAGAAGAAGCACCGGCUAACUCCGUGCAAGCCGCCGCGGUAAUU